UAUUCUGUGAAGUGCACCAGUCCCUCCUGCAGCAAAGCACCCCCACAACAUGAUGCUGCCGCCCCCGUGCUUCACGGUUGGGAUGGUGUUCUUCGGCUAGCAAGCGUUCCCAUUUUUCCUCCAAACGUUAUGUUUGGUCAUUAUGGCCAAACAGUUCUAUUUUUGUUUCAUCAGACCAGAGGACAUUUCUCCAAAAAGUACAAUCUCUGUCCCCAUUUGCAGUUGCAAACCGUAGUCUGGCUUUUUUUAAUGGUGGUUUUGGAGCAGUGGCUUCUUCCUUGCUGAUGUUGAUAUUGGACUCGUUUUACUGUGGAUAUACAGUGCCUUGCGAAAGUAUUCGGCCCCCUUGAACUUUGCGACCUUUUGCCACAUUUCAGGCUUCAAACAUACAGAUAUAAAACUGUAUUUUUUGUGAAGAAUCAACAACAAGUGGGACACAAUCAUGAAGUGGAAUGACAUUUAUUGGAUAUUUCAAACUUUUUUUAACAAAUCAAAAACUGAAAAAUUGGGUGUGCAAAAUUAUUCAGCCCCUUUACUUUCAGUGCAGCAAACUCUCCAGAAGUUCAGUGAGGAUCUCUGAAUGAUCCAAUGUUGACCUAAAUGACUAAUGAUGAUAAAUAUAAUCCACCUGUGUGUAAUCAAGUCUCCGUAUAAAUGCACCUGCACUGUGAUAGUCUUAGAGGUCCGUUAAAAGCGCAGAGAGCAUCAUGAAGAACAAGGAACACACCAGGCAGGUCCGAGAUACUGUUGUGAAGAAGUUUAAAGCCGGAUUUGGAUACAAAAAGAUUUCCCAAGCUUUAAACAUCCCAAGGAGCACUGUGCAAGCGAUAAUAUUGAAAUGGAAGGAGAAUCAGACCACUGCAAAUCUACCAAGACCUGGCCGUCCCUCUAAACUUUCAGCUCAUACAAGGAGAAGACUGAUCAGAGAUGCAGCCAAGAGGCCCAUGAUCACUCUGGAUGAACUGCAGAGAUCUACAGCUGAGGUGGGAGACUCUGUCCAUAGGACAACAAUCAGUCGUAUAUUGCACAAAUCUGGCCUUUAUGGAAGAGUGGCAAGAAGAAAGCCAUUUCUUAAAGAUAUCCAUAAAAAGUGUUGUUUAAAGUUUGCCACAAGCCACCUGAGAGACACACCAAACAUGUGGAAGAAGGUGCUCUGGUCAGAUGAAACCAAAAUUGAACUUUUUGGCAACAAUGCAAAACGUUAUGUUUGGCGUAAAAGCAACACAGCGCAUCACCCUGAACACACCAUCCCCACUGUCAAACAUGGUGGUGGCAGCAUCAUGGUUUGGGCCUGCUUUUCUUCAGCAGGGACAGGGAAGAUGGUUAAAAUUGAUGGGAAGAUGGACGGAGCCAAAUACAGGACCAUUCUGUAAGAAAACCUGAUGGAGUCUGCAAAAGACCUGAGACUGGGACGGAGAUUUGUCUUCCAACAAGACAAUGAUCCAAAACAUAAAGCAAAAUCUACAAUGGAAUGGUUCAAAAAUAAACAUAUCCAGGUGUUAGAAUGGCCAAGUCAAAGUCCAGACCUGAAUCCAAUCGAGAAUCUGUGGAAAGAACUGAAAACUGCUGUUCACAAACGCUCUCCAUCCAACCUCACUGAGCUCGAGCUGUUUUGCAAGGAGGAAUGGGAAAAAAUGUCAGUCUCUCGAUGUGCAAAACUGAGAGACAUACCCCAAGCGACUUACAGCUGUAAUCGCAGCAAAAGGUGGCGCUACAAAGUAUUAACUUAAGGAGGCUGAAUAAUUUUGCACGCCCAAUUUCAGUUUUUGAUUUGAUAAAAAAGUUUGAAAUAUCCAAUAAAUGUCGUUCCACUUCAUGGUUGUUGAUUCUUCAAAAAAAUACAGUUUUAUAUCUUUAUGUUUGAAGCCUGAAAUGUGGCAAAAGGUCGCAAAGUUCAAGGGGGCCGAAUACUUUCGCAAGGCACUGUAGAUAAUUUUGUACCCGUUUCCUCCAGCAUCUUCACAAGGUCCUUUGCUGUUGUUCUGGGUUUGAUUUGAACUUUUCACACCAAAGUACAUUCAUCUCUAGGAGACAGAACACGUCUCCUUCCUGAGCGGUAUGACAGCUGCGUGGUCGCAUGGUGUUUAUACUUGCGUACUAUUGUUUGUAUAGAUGAACCUGGUACCUUCAGGUGUUUGGACAUUGCUCCCAAGGAUGAACCAGACUUGUGGAGGUUACAAAUUUUUUUGCAAUUUUUUUCCUGAGGUCUGUUUUGAUUUCCCCAUGAUGUCAAGCAAAGAGGCACUGGGUUUGAAGGUAGGCCUUGAAAUACAUUCACAGGUACACCGCCAAUUGACUCAAAUGUGAAAUUAGCCUAUCAGAAGCUUCUAAAGCCAUGACAUCAUUUUCUGGAAUUUUUCAAGCUGUUUAAAGGCACAGCCAACUUAGUGUAUGUAAACUUCUGACCCACUGGAAUUGUGGUACAGUGAAUUAUAAGUUAAAUAGUCUGUCAACAAUUCUUGGAAAAAUGACUUGUGUCAUGCACAAAGUAGAUGUCCUAACCGACUUGGCAAAACCAUAGUUUGUUAACAAGAAAUUUGUGGAUUGGUUGAAAAAAACAAGUUAAUGACUUCUACUAUACACACAAAAAAUGGAAUUCUUUAUUUUAACGUUCUUAUAAAUAUAGCUAGCAACAGAAUAAACACAUUUUGAAUGACAUACCUACAGUGGAAAAGAGGAGUGUUAUUUUUAAUUAUGUCAACUUUAUUUCUCAACUCCUAAUAUUGUCUGACAUAGGCUUUGAAAAAGCAUCCGCUUACCAGUCGGCUGGUAAUCUUUCUUUCUUGGCUCUAUUCAAUACGUAUUGUGGAAGUUCAGCAUUACUGUGGGGGCAAUGUUCAGGCAUCAGUGGAGACUGCAUUCAUGCAUAUGUCGGCUCAAUCGGAAAAUUACCUUCACAUUUCUAUCGUGCAAUCUAUAACGCUUCAGCAAUACAGCCUGAAUAGAGCCCUUAGCUAUGUGUUGGCAAAAAGUAACCUUGGUUUAAACAACUCCAAACACAUUUUUGUUAAUAGCAGCUAUAUUUACCUAAUAGGAUGAGUUUACACUUCCUCAACAAAAAUAACAAUCUACCAAAUAUAUUCAUUUUAGAAUGUUGAUACUUCCUCCUUGCCAUUCAGCUGAUAAGACAUUAUAAAUAUAUAUACACAUUUAUUUGCUAACAUGAUGGGGUUCCUGGGUCGCCGGUUUGCUUGGCCGGGGGUUCCUGGGUAGCCGGUUUGCUUGGCCGGGGGUUCCUGGGUAGCCGGUUUGCUUGGCCGGGGGUUCCUGGGUAGCCGGUUUGCUUGGCCGGGGGUUCCUGGGUAGCCGGUUUGCUUGGCCGGGGGUUCCUGGGUAGCCGGUUUGCUUGGCCGGGGGUUCCUGGGUAGCCAGGUUUGCUUGGCCUAGCCGGUUUGCUUGGCCAGGGGUUCCUGGGUAGCCAGGUUUGCUUGGCCGGGGGUUCCUGGGUAGCCAGGUUUGCUUGGCCUAGCCGGUUUGCUUGGCCAGGGGUUCCUGGGUAGCCAGGUUUGCUUGGCCGGGGGUUCCUGGGUAGCCGGUUUGCUUGGCCGGGGGUUCCUGGGUAGCCAGGUUUGCUUGGCCGGGGGUUCCUGGGUAGCUGGUUUGCUUGGCCGGGGGUUCCUGGGUAGCCAGGUUUGCUUGGCCUAGCCGGUUUGCUUGGCCAGGGGUUCCUGGGUAGCCAGGUUUGCUUGGCCGGGGGUUCCUGGGUAGCCGGUUUGCUUGGCCGGGGGUUCCUGGGUAGCCAGGUUUGCUUGGCCGGGGGUUCCUGGGUAGCCAGGUUUGCUUGGCCGGGGGUUCCUGGGUAGCCGGUUUGCUUGGCCGGGGGUUCCUGGGUAGCCAGGUUUGCUUGGCCGGGGGUUCCUGGGUAGCCAGGUUUGCUUGGCCGGGGGUUCCUGGGUAGCCAGGUUUGCUUGGCCGGGGGUUCCUGGGUAGCCAGGUUUGCUUGGCCGGGGGUUCCUGGGUAGCCAGGUUUGCUUGGCCGGGGGUUCCUGGGUAGCCAGGUUUGCUUGGCCGGGGGUUCCUGGGUAGCCAGGUUUGCUUGGCCGGGGGUUCCUGGGUAGCCAGGUUUGCUUGGCCGGGGGUUCCUGGGUAGCCAGGUUUGCUUGGCCGGGGGUUCCUGGGUAGCCGGUUUGCUUGGCCGGGGGUUCCUGGGUAGCCGGUGUGCCUGGGAACGGGUCCCUGUGAAAGAAACCGUUGAAGACCCCUGUUCUAUAGCAUUUCAGACUGCUAUUAGGGGACCUUUUUACUCUAUCAUGUGUCUGUUUAUGAUUGUGUUUUGCUUUUCAUGUAUUGGUUUUGUAUGAUAAUGUGUAUAUGGUAGUGCAGUUUAUGUGUAUAUUGUAUUUUGAUGUGUAUUGUUGUGCUAAACAGGGCUCACAUGGAAAAACAAACCUUGGUCUCAGUAUUGACUCCCUGUCAAAAUAAACAAAUCACUGAUAAUACAAGAGGCAACAGUUUCCCAACGAACCAUAAACACAGCAAGGAAAACAGCCUCCAUUAUUCCAAUAAUGGGUCCAACUCCAAUGAUCAUGACCUCCGAACAAACACAGCUCCUUUCAGAUAUAACAGCUCAGAGAUACAAUAGGUAGCAGCACUACUUUGGGUUUAUAAGAGCUAGCUAACAACGCAGCGUGGGCUAGACACUUCCACCCCAGGGAAAGGCCUUUUUAUAGAUAUGAAAAGCUUUAGAGACUUUGGCAGCAGUCACACACACCCCAUCACAGUCACACAACAGCUUC